CCUACGGGCGGCAGCAGUGGGGAAUGUUGCACAAUGGGCGCAAGCCUGAUGCAGCCAUGCCGCGUGUGUGAAGAAGGCCUUCGGGUUGUAAAGCACUUUCAGCGGGGAGGAAGGCGUUAAGGUUAAUAACCUUGUCGAUUGACGUUACCCGCAGAAGAAGCACCGGCUAACUCCGUGCCAGCAGCCGCGGUAAUACGGAGGGUGCAAGCGUUAAUCGGAAUUACUGGGCGUAAAGCGCACGCAGGCGGUCUGUCAAGUCGGAUGUGAAAUCCCCGGGCUCAACCUGGGAACUGCAUUCGAAACUGGCAGGCUAGAGUCUUGUAGAGGGGGGUAGAAUUCCAGGUGUAGCGGUGAAAUGCGUAGAGAUCUGGAGGAAUACCGGUGGCGAAGGCGGCCCCCUGGACAAAGACUGACGCUCAGGUGCGAAAGCGUGGGGAGCAAACAGGAUUAGAUACCCUUGUAGUC
rnacentral:rRNA from 1 species